rnacentral:rRNA from 1 species
GAUGAACGCUGGCGGCGUGCCUAAUACAUGCAAGUCGAGCGAAAGGACGAUAAGCUUGUUUUUUUGCUGUUGGCGGCGGACGGGUGAGUAAGACGUGGAUAACCUACUUCUUAGUCUGGGGUAACUUCGGGAGAACGUAUAUACUACUAGCUAAUACUUCCUACCGCUGGGUUCAAAAGAUCUACACGCCUUUCCUGUUACAUUUAGCUGGUUCCGGGUUGCCUUAGCGAGUUGGUAAGGUAACGGCUUACCAACGCAACGAUGCAUAGCUGAGCUGAGAGGAUGAUCAGCCACACUGGAACUGAGACACGGUCCAGACUCCUACGGGAGGCAGCAGUAGGGAAUCUUCCACAAUGGGCGAAAGCCUGACGCAGCAACGCCGCGUGAGUGAUGAAGGUCUUCGGGUCGUAAAACUCUGUUAUUAGGAAAGAACAGAUGUAUGAGUAACUGUGCACAUCUUGACGGUACCUAAUCAAAAAGCAACGGCUAACUACGUG